rnacentral:lncRNA from 1 species
GUAUGCAUGAAUAGAAUGUAUGAAAAAAAGAAAAAAAGAAAAAAAAUGUGUAUACGAGAGAAAAAGAAAAUUUGUGUAAAAAAAGAGUGUGAGAGAGAAAGAAAGAAAUAAAGUGUGAAAGAGAAAGAAAUAGAGUGCACAAGAAAAGAGUGUAUAAAAGAAAGAGAGAGAAAAUAUACAAUGGAAGAGUAGGAGAGAGAAAGAGAGAUUUUAAGAAAAAAGAAUGUGAGAAAGAAAGUGUGUGUAAGAAAGAAGUGUGAAAGAGAAAAAAAAAGAGUAUAAAAGAGAAAGAAAGAGAAUGUGUGCAAGAAAGGAGUGUGAGAGAGAAAGAAAGAGAGUAUAAAAGAAAAAAAAAGAGAAUGUUUACGCAAAGAAUGUAUGAGAGAAAGAAAGAGAGAAAGAGUGUUUGUACAAGAGAGAGGUGUGCAAGAAAAGAAUGUUUGAGAGAAAAAAAAUAAGAAAGUGAAAAAAAAAUGUGUAUGCAAGAAAAAAAAAGAAUUUAUAUAAAAAAAAGAAUAUGAGAGAGAAAGAAAGAAAGUGUGAAAGAGAAAGAAAUAGCAUGUACAAGAAAAGAGUGUGAAAGAAAGAGAGAGAAAGUGUGCAAUAGAGGAGUAUGAGAGAGAAAAAGAGAGUGUGUGUGAAAAAAAAAAAAAAGAUUGUAUAAAAAAAGAAUGAGAGAAAAGGAGUGUGUAUAAGAAAGGUGUGUGUGUGAAAGAGAGAGAGAGAGAGAGAGAGAGAGAGAGAGUGUGUACAAGAGAGAAAUGUGCAAGAAAAGAAUGUGUGAGAGAAAGAGAGAAAAAGUAUACAUGAAAAGAGUGUAAGAGAAAGAGAGUGAGAGAGUGUGUUUGCAAGAAAAAAAAAAGAGAUUAUACAAGAAAAGACUAUUAGAGUGAGAAUGUAUAUGAGAGAGGAAUAUAAGAGAGAAAGAUAGAGAGUAAAAAAAAAAAAAAAAAAAAAAAAAAAAAAUGGAGUAUGCAAAAAAAGAGUAUGUGAGAGAAAAAAAAGAAAGAGUGUGCAAGAAAGAUGUAUGCAAGAAAAGAAUUUGUGAGAAAAAAAAUAUAUAUAUA